rnacentral:rRNA from 1 species
AUUGAACGCUGGCGGCAGGCCUAACACAUGCAAGUCGAGCGGCAGCGGGACCUUCGGGUUGCCGGCGAGCGGCGGACGGGUGAGUAAUGCCUAGGAAUCUGCCUGGUAGUGGGGGAUAACGUUCCGAAAGGAACGCUAAUACCGCAUACGUCCUACGGGAGAAAGCAGGGGACGUUCGGGCCUUGCGCUACCAGAUGAGCCUAGGUCGGAUUAGCUAGUUGGUGAGGUAAUGGCUCACCAAGGCGACGAUCCGUAACUGGUCUGAGAGGAUGAUCAGUCACACUGGAACUGAGACACGGUCCAGACUCCUACGGGAGGCAGCAGUGGGGAAUAUUGGACAAUGGGCGAAAGCCUGAUCCAGCCAUGCCGCGUGUGUGAAGAAGGUCUUCGGAUUGUAAAGCACUUUAAGUUGGGAGGAAGGGCAGUAAGUUAAUACCUUGCUGUUUUGACGUUACCGACAGAAUAAGCACCGGCUAACUUCGUGCCAGCCGCCGCAGUAAAAC